AGAGUUUGAUCCUGGCUCAGAUUGAACGCUGGCGGCAGGCUUAACACAUGCAAGUCGAGCGGUAACAGAGAGUAGCUUGCUACUCUGCUGACGAGCGGCGGACGGGUGAGUAAUGCCUAGGAAUCUGCCUAGUAGUGGGGGAUAACUUGCCGAAAGGUAAGCUAAUACCGCAUACGUCCUACGGGAGAAAGGAGGGGACUCUUCGGAGCCUUUCGCUAUUAGAUGAGCCUAGGUCGGAUUAGUUAGUUGGUGAGGUAAUGGCUCACCAAGACCGCGAUCCGUAACUGGUCUGAGAGGAUGAUCAGUCACACUGGAACUGAGACACGGUCCAGACUCCUACGGGAGGCAGCAGUGGGGAAUAUUGGACAAUGGGGGAAACCCUGAUCCAGCCAUGCCGCGUGUGUGAAGAAGGUCUUAGGAUUGUAAAGCACUUUAAGUUGGGAGGAAGAGCAGUUAACUAAUAUUUGACUGUUUUGACGUUACCGACAGAAUAAGCACCGGCUAACUUCGUGCCAGCAGCCGCGGUAAUACGAAGGGUGCAAGCGUAAUCGGAAUUACUGGGCGUAAAGCGCGCGUAGGUGGUUCGUUAAGUUAGGAGUGAAAGCCCCGG
rnacentral:rRNA from 1 species